rnacentral:rRNA from 1 species
GGACGAACGCUGGCGGCGUGCCUAACACAUGCAAGUCGAACGGAGUGAGACCCUCGGGGUUUCACUUAGUGGCGAACGGGUGAGUAACGCGUGAGGAACCUGCCUUGGAGUGGGGAAUAACACAGAGAAAUUUGUGCUAAUACCGCAUAAUGCAACGAGACCGCAUGAUCUUGUUGCCAAAGCUUUAUGUGCUGAAAGAUGGUCUCGCGUCUGAUUAGCUAGUUGGUGAGGUAACGGCUCACCAAGGCGACGAUCAGUAGCCGGUCUGAGAGGAUGAACGGCCACAUUGGGACUGAGAUACGGCCCAGACUCCUACGGGAGGCAGCAGUGGGGAAUAUUGGGCAAUGGGGGAAACCCUGACCCAGCAACGCCGCGUGAAGGAAGAAGGCCUUCGGGUUGUAAACUUCUUUUACCAGGGACGAAGAACGUGACGGUACCUGGAGAAAAAGCAACGGCUAACUACGUG